AAGUCGUAACAAGGUAACCGUAGGUGAACCUGCGGUUGGAUCAUUAUUGAAAUUAUAAUCCAAUCUUUUUUUCUCAUAACUUCUGUUAAAAGAAGGCUAUGAGAUUGAAGGAAACAUCAUGUGAACUUGUUUAAUUGUCUCUGGUGGGUUAAAACGAUAAAGUAGUUUGAAAAAAUUACUUUACCCGGAAUGUGUGUGGCUUGGUGUUUGUGGGUAAAUUAUAUUUAUCCAUUCCCACCCCUCCACCCCCAUUUACCCACUAUUUUUUUGUAUAUCAAAACCUGUUUUGUUUAACCUGGACCGAAUUUUUAAAAUGUUUUUUUCCUUUAAAAGAAAAUAACAAAUCUAAAAAAAAACAACUUUUGACAACGGAUCUCUAGGCUCUC
rnacentral:misc_RNA from 1 species